AUGCUCACUUUGGCAGCACAUAUGCUGAAAUUGGAAUGAUAUAGAGAAGAUUAACAUAGCCCCUGUGCAAGGAUGACACGCAAAUUCAUGAACCUCUCCAUAUUAAC
ensembl:snRNA U6 U6 spliceosomal RNA